rnacentral:lncRNA from 10 species
UAGGAGGAGGCACUUAGACUGGGGUUACAGAGGUUUCUGCAGGACAUGCAGCCAUCCCUGCUGUGGACAGUGCUAGUAUCCCACCUGGCCUCUGGGCUUCCCUGAACAGCAGUGGUGGAGGAACACUCUCCUUAAGGCAGAACUUAGAGCAGUGUACCUGGUUCAUGUCAUCUGCAAAGAGAGACGGGCAGAGGUUCCUAGUUCAUGGGCUGUGACUCAGGGACUUGGAAGAUGAUCAAGGAUGUUCAGGGACACAGGAAAUACAAUCAGAAUAUUGAUCACAACUGUGUCUGAGGGAGAGAUGUGUGAGCAAGCAGAAAGCAUGAGAAUAUUUAUCUCCUAUGUGAAUAUUUUGUGAAGUCUGACAUGAGAAGGAAUUGAUUUUGCUAAACAGGUUGGUAGGAUGGGUGGCUCUCUGGACACCUGGCAGUCUGCCCCAACCACUGCCAUCAUUGCCCAAUUGGCUCAAUAACAAAUGCCCUAUGGUUGCAGAAAAGGAGGCUGUCCAUGGACUCAUCAAAGUGGACUACCACUCACUAGAGCUGACCUGGCUGUAGCUACUGCUGAGUGACCAUCUGCCAACAGUGAAGACCAACAGGAAGAUCCCUAUAGGAUGCCUGGUUGAUAUUAAUUUCAUUAAAGCUGUUCCUUCAUGGCAGGGAUAGCUCUUUGCUCUUGCCAGAAUACACACUUAGUAUAGACAGGGAUUUGCUUUCUUUGACUGCAGUGCUUCUGCCAAACCUUUUAUCUCUGGACUACAGAAUGCUUCACCCACCAUGAUGGUAUUCCACAGGGGGCUUUGACCAAGGAACUCAUAUCACAGCAAAUAAACAGCAACCAUGGGCCCAUCCUCAUGGCAUUCAAGUGUCUUACCAUCUUCACCAAUGUGGCAUCUGGCUUAUAUGAAUGGCUCAGUGUCUGCUUGAAGACUCAGUUACUGUGGCAGCAGGAUGGCAAAAACAUGUAAGGUUGGGCAAUGACUUUGAGGAUGGGGCAUGCGCUGUACAGCAGUGCCCAAUAUGCAGUACUAUUUCUCCCACAGUCAGGAUCCAUGAGUCCAGGAAUCAAUGAAUAAAUUGUAGUGGCUCCACUCAAAAACGUCCUUAGUGAUCCAUGAGCAAAAUUUAAUGUCCUCCCCCACAACCUCGGGCUCUGUGAGUCUAGAGU